AGAGCGAACGCUGGCGGCAGGCUUAACACAUGCAAGUCGAGCGCCCCGCAAGGGGAGCGGCAGACGGGAGAGUAACACGUGGGAACGUACCUUUCGGUUCGGAACAACCCAGGGAAACUUGGGCUAAUACCGGAUACGCCCGCAAGGGGAAAGAUUUAUCGCCGGAAGAUCGGCCCGCGUCUGAUUAGCUAGUUGGUGAGGUAACGGCUCACCAAGGCGACGAUCAGUAGCUGGUCUGAGAGGAUGAUCAGCCUCACUGGGACUGAGACACGGCCCAGACUCCUACGGGAGGCAGCAGUGGGGAAUAUUGGACAAUGGGCGCAAGCCUGAUCCAGCCAUGCCGCGUGGGUGAUGAAGGCCCUAGGGGUUGUAAAGCCCUUUCGGGCGGGGAAGAUAAUGACGGUACCCGCAGAAGAAGCCCCGGCUAACUUCGCGCCAGCAGCCGC
rnacentral:rRNA from 1 species